rnacentral:rRNA from 1 species
UGCCAGCAGCCGCGGUAAUACGGAUGGAUCGAGCGUUGUUCGGAAUCACUGGGCAUAAAGGGUGCGUAGGCGGCCACGUAAGUCAGAUGUGAAAUCUCCAGACCUAAUCUGGAACGUGCAUUUGAUACUGCGUGGCUUGAGGGCAGGAGAGGUGAGUGGAAUUCCAGGUGUAGCGGUGAAAUGCGUAGAUAUCUGGGAGAACACCGGUGGCGAAGGCGACUCACUGGACUGUUUCUGACGCUGAGGCACGAAAGCUAGGGGAGCGAACGGGAUUAGAUA